UCCUCAAGCUCAAGUAAACCCACAUUUGGCCUCAAAGCCCUGAAGAUGGAGACAUGAAGGGUGGAGACUGAAGUGUCCUUAUCCAACAGCAUACCAUGAAACAGAGAUCUUCCCAGCCCUUCAUUUUUGUCCUUUGGCCUUUGAAGAGUAAAAUACCUGUUGAGUAA